AUAAGCUGUGAGCCACUGUAAAUUCAUUAGAAGAAUCCAAGAUAACACAAAACAAAAUAAUGUCGCGCAAACCGGCAUAACCUCAAAUGUAGGUAGGUAGGUAGGUAGGUAGGGUGGUUGUCGUAAGACACACUUAGACCUUCGGCAGGUCCAUUGUGAUACCACUGGAGCUUAUCCUUACUCUACGUGUUCCCUUUCAAACCAUCCGGUUGCUUUAAUAAACGAGCAGAGCUUCGUUAGUUUUAGAUGGGCUAUAUCCGCUACAUCGGUUAGAAAUGCUGUAUAGAGUGUGCGCAGCCUUCUCCUAGCUAGGCUUUCACACUCACAUAAAAGGUGUCUGACUGUUUCCUCUUCUUCUGAAUUUAGACAGCUUCUACAGAAAUCGAAGUAAGGUAGUCCUAACCUUCUAGCGUGGCUGCCUAUUAAACAGUGACCACUUAAUACACCUAUCAUUUUUCUUAUAGAUUCCCUGUUGAAUCUUAGCAAGAUCUUCGAUCGACCGCUGUUCCAGUUCGGCCAUGUCUGUCUGCUUAGUUCGCAUGUUGUGAGGUUUUGCCAGAUUGUAUUUACCUUUUUGAUGGUUUCCCUGUCUAUAAGUAAUUUACAAGUGGCUAUAGGCAGGGGUAUCAGCGCCUUAUCCGGUUCGAGAUCGAGCGUUGUACCGGCUCUUGCAAGUUCAUCCGCCUUACAAUUUCCUGGAAUGUCCCUGUGGCCUGGUACCCAGAUAAGGUGCACCUUGUAGCACUUAGAUACGUCAUCUAGUAGUUUAAAACAUUCUAGAACUGUUUUUGACGAGUGCGUUUUUGAUUCCAGCGCUUUUAUUGCUGCUUGACUGUCCGAGUAAAUGAAGACUUCAUUUGUGGAUAAUACUCUCGUUUUUAUUUCUUUAUGCCCCUCUUUUAUGGCAGUGACUUCCGCCUGAAAUACACUGCAAUGAUCAGAAAAUUUGCGCCACGCUGCUGCGUAUGUUUGGAACCAAUAAUGCCAGAAACCGGUGAAGAAGGAACUGUACGUGUCGUAGCGUUAGAUCGCAGUUUUCACUUCGAAUGUUAUAAAUGUGAAGAGUCGUCAGAAGCCGAGGUUCGUGGAUGCUAUCCUCUGGACGGACAUAUACUCUGUACAAGUUGUAAUGCAAAACGUGUGCAAAUGCUAACAAGCCGCAUGGCAACAGAGUUAUAAACAAAUUUAUUACUGUGACAGUAUGAAUAACUUUUUCAAACGACAUACCGUAUUUAUUUAUUUAAAAGUAUUCGGUUGAUAUGCUCUUUUUCACUCUGCUGCCUCCUGAACGAACGCUGUAGGCACCUAGAAAAUCACCUCCAUAAUCCUAACUUCCUUUUCCCUCUCAGCGCUUCAGCGCUUGAAGAUCGUCGACUACACUUAGAGCCAAUUCAGCCGUUAAAAGAGAUGCAUUAAUAUUUACACUACAGUGAAACCGAAACACGUUUAACAAGAGCAACGUCUCACCAGUUACCAUCUACAUAAUUUACUUUCCAUUGCAUUUCCGAUCAGAACAUUGUAGUCAAAGUGUUCUACAGGGUGCACCAUGUUUUAUGUCGUACAAUUUCAACCAUUAAUCGCUUUACACCGAAACAACGCGAAAUGGACGCUAUAAAACCCGAAAUGCUUGACAAGGUGAUGACAAACGCAGAAAAGAGAUCGCAGCUU